rnacentral:rRNA from 1 species
GGAGUUAGCCGGUGCUUCUUCUGCGAGUAACGUCACAGAUGUAAGGUAUUAACUUACACCCUUUCCUCCUCGCUGAAAGUGCUUUACAACCCGAAGGCCUUCUUCACACACGCGGCAUGGCUGCAUCAGGGUUUCCCCCAUUGUGCAAUAUUCCCCACUGCUGCCUCCCGUAGGAGUCUGGGCCGUGUCUCAGUCCCAGUGUGGCUGAUCAUCCUCUCAGACCAGCUAGGGAUCGUCGCCUAGGUGAGCCUUUACCUCACCUACUAGCUAAUCCCACCUGGGCUUAUCCAUCAGCGCAAGGCCCGAAGGUCCCCUGCUUUCCCCCGUAGGGCGUAUGCGGUAUUAGCAGUCGUUUCCAACUGUUAUCCCCCACAAAUGGGCAAAUUCCCAGGCAUUACUCACCCGUCCGCCGCUCGUCAUCUUCAAAAGCAAGCUUUUGAAACUGUUACCGCUCGACUUGCAUGUGUUAGGCCUGCCGCCAGCGUUCAAUCUGAGCCAGAAUCAAAACUCUGA